GUAAAUUAUAAACAUCUAAAUGACAUGUAUGAUACAUGAUAACCAUACAUAAUGACUACUGGUUAUUGCUAAUGGAUUUCACAUAGUGGUAACCACAAUUGGUCACCAUAUAGAAGGGGGUGUUUGAACACUCUCAACAUGGAGCAGAUAGACAACAAGGGAGAGGAAGAAAUCAAAGAGCUCAUGGACACGGGGCCCCUCAGAGAGGUGGGCAUGGACCCCAACAAAGAGGUGGGCAUGGGCCCCGACAAAGAGGUGGGCAUGGACCCUGACAAAGAGGUGGGCAUGGACCCUGACAAAGAGGUGGGCAUGGACCCUGACAAAGAGGUGGGCAUGGGCCCCGACAAAGAGGUGGGCAUGGGCCCCGUUAGAGGUUUACAUCAGAGAGAGGGAGGCAGACGGCAGGGAACUGUUGUGUCUAAUGAAGUCCGGGCCAUCAUCGGUGACCAUGUGGUUAACAGAGGCCUUACCAUGGCAGAGGAUGAUUAGUUAGGUUAGUUCAACACAAUCUGAAAAGAUCAACUGUCAAUUCGCCAAGAAAACCAGUAAGUCUGCAGGAUAUGGACUAUGCUUUACCAUUACAUCUACAGUAAAUUACAUUUUGUAAUGCAUGUCAAUUCACAAAACAUGUUACACUAUUCUUACAGUAUGAUCUAUUGACAGUAUACUGUGUUCUACCCUCAGAAGACCCCAUGGUGGUGGCCGUGUGCUGACCGAUCAGCAGGAGUGGGGAGUGGUGGAAAUGGUGAGGGCCAGGAAUGACAUACGUCUGUCUGAAAUAAAGCAGGCCAUUGAGGAGAACAAUGACACCUUUGCCAAUGUGGCAUCCAUCAGCCUGCCAACAAUCGCCCAACUUUUGAAGAGGCAUCCAGAGGGUGAUGGUGCUUGAUGUUGCUGUGAACCAUCACAAGUAUAUCUUCGUUGAUGAAACAGGCUUCAAUCAGGCCAAAACUCGGCACCAUGGGUAGAACCUCACCGGCCAACGGGCGACCGUCCAAGCGCCUGGACAACGGGGGGAAACAUCUUCAUGUGCACAGUUAUCUCUGAAUAGUAUGGUAUGGUAGGAUAUAGGCCUACCAUCAUGGUGUGGUAGGAGGUAGACCUACCAUCAUGGUGUGGUAGGAGGUAGACCUACCAUCAUGGUGUGGUAGGAGGUAGACCUACCAUCAUGGUGUGGUAGGAGGUAGGCCUACCAUCAUGGUGUGGUAGGAGGUAGACCUACCAUCAUGGUGUGGUAGGACGAAGGCCUACCAUCAUGGUGUGGUAGGACAUAGACCUACCAUCUUGGUGUGGUAGGAGGUAGGCCUACCAUCAUGGUGUGGUAGGAGGUAGACCUACCAUCAUGGUGUGGUAGGAUGUAGGCCUACCAUCAUGGUGUGGUAGGAGGAAUUGCAGGCCGAAUAUGGAAACCAUGUGUUUGAUGUAUUUGAUACCAUUCCACUCAUUCUGUUCCAGCCAUUACCACGAGCCCAUCCUCCCCAAUGAAGGUGCCACCAACCUCCUGCGAUGCAGACAAAUGUCAAGCUUGGAUUCACCAUGCCAUGUUUUAUUUUCAUUCAUUUCAUUUCUCACAUUUGAUUAGACAGUAUGUUGCAAUUAUAUCUGAAAAUUCAUUGUUUUUAUUUGCAUGAAUGAUUGUAGAGGACGUUUUCAUGGAAUACAUGUUGGAUAGAUAUGAUAGAUUUUCUGUAAAUUUUUUGGGGUAAUGUAAGUGUAUUGCCUAAUGUGAAAACUGUAAUCUGCUAUUCACAGGACUGUGUUCCUUUCAGCACCUCUAAGGGGGAUUUGAAACGCGUAUCUUGCAUUGUUUGCUAUUGGAUUAACUGGGAGUUAAAAAUAAUCAAUUGUAAAGACAUCAUUAUGUUGUGUUCUGGUGAAUAAACCAAUGUCACAUUACAUUUCACAAUAAACUUUGAUUUUAAAUGAAUGGUUGUGUGGUGCGAUAUGUUUACAAUCCAAAUGAAUGCACAAUGAAAGGUUUUCAAUGAAAGACUGGCUGUGUCACAAGUGUUACCAGUUUGG
rnacentral:lncRNA from 1 species